UACGUAGGGCGCAAGCGUUUGUCCGGAAUUAUUGGGCGUAAAGAGCUCGUAGGCGGCUUGUCACGUCGGAUGUGAAAGCCCGAGGCUUAACCUCGGGUCUGCAUUCGAUACGGGCUAGCUAGAGUGUGGUAGGGGAGAUCGGAAUUCCUGGUGUAGCGGUGAAAUGCGCAGAUAUCAGGAGGAACACCGAUGGCGAAGGCAGAUCUCUGGGCCGUAACUGACGCUGAGGAGCGAAAGCAUGGGGAGCGAACAGG
rnacentral:rRNA from 1 species